AAAAUUAACUAGUUUUGAACUUUUGUAAAAGUAGACCGUCUUUUUUGAUUUUACAGAUUCGGACCGAAUUUUUAGAAAACUGACUAAAAUACCCUUAUACUUUUUUCUCUCUCCUCUUUUUUUUCUCUCGUUUUUUUUUCUUACUAUACCCAGAGGGCGGCGGAGGCGGAGGCAGCCCGCCUCGCCUUUGUCCGGCGCGCCCUUACCCUCGCUCACGCAUCCCCUGCCUUCCUUGCCUCCGAUCCCUCCGAGGCCGUGCCGCGACUCACUUUUUCUUUUCUUUUUUUUUCUCUCCAACCCUCCUCCAUUGCCUCCCCACCUUUUUAUGACAGUAAAGAGGGUAACGCAGCGUUUUCUUCCUCUCGUUUUUUUCGCUAUCUCCUUUUUUUCUCUUCGACCCCCCUCCACUGUUUCUGUGACCCUCCACGACGGUAAUGAAGAUAAUGCUGCGUCUUCUUACUCCGCCUUUGCCGGCGCAGGCACCAACACCGGCGCCGGCGAGUCGACGCCGGAGAAGGAGGACUUGGAGUGAGCGUAGGUGAGAGCGGAACCAAGAAAAAAAAAAUAUAGAAAAUAAAUAAAAUAAAAAAAUAACGAAUAAAAUAUAAAAAAAUACGUUUUUCUACAAAAAGAAUAAAGAAUCAGAGAUAAAAGAAGAUGAUGAUGAAAAUGCACCGUUUAAUAGGAACAUUGCACUGUUUUAUAAAAAAUUACACUUUUCUGAAAGAAAGUUGCACUCUUGGGACAAAAAUUACACUAUUUCUUCUCAUUCACACAAAAAUAAAGAUGAAGGAAGAGGAGGAAAAAAAGAAAUGGUAUAAUUUUCGUCCCAAGAGUACAACUUUCUUUCAAAUAGUGCAAAUUUUAUUCAGAAAAGUUUAACUUGAAUCAGAUAGAAAAGAAGAAAAGGAUAUAAGUUAUACUAUUUCAGAGUAAUGUUGCACUGUUUUAAAGAAAAUUAAGGCUGGGGCUACUAUACUCAUAUGAAUAUAUAGCCCUUUGUACUCAUAACUUUUCAACCGUUCGGAUGAAAAAAAUAUGCUGUUAGGAUGAGAGUGGUUACGAUUAGGUUGAUAGUGGGCCCCAUAGGAUUGACUGGGUGAUUGGUUGAAUAAUAUAAUCUAACGGGUGAAAAUGAUUAAAGGAUAGAUCAAACGGCCAAAAACUUAUGAGUACAAAAGGCUUUAUACUCAUAAGAGUGUAGUAGCCAGACUCAAAAAAUUAAACUAUUUGAGAGAAAAAUUAAACUUUACUGAAUAAAAUUUACACUACUUGAAAAAAAAUUGCACUCUUUUGACGAAAAUUAUACUAUUUCUUUUCUUAUUCCUCCUCCUUUAU
rnacentral:lncRNA from 1 species